GACCCGCUAGCUCAGCAGGCAGAGCAAUUGCCUUUUAAGCAAUGGGUCUGGAGUUCGAAUCUCCAGCGGGUCACCA
rnacentral:tRNA from 1 species